rnacentral:rRNA from 1 species
GGACGAACGCUGGCGGCGUGCUUACCACAUGCAAGUCGAACGGAAAGGCCCUGCUUUUGUGGGGUGCUCGAGUGGCGAACGGGUGAGUAACACGUGAGUAACCUGCCCUUGACUUUGGGAUAACUUCAGGAAACUGGGGCUAAUACCGGAUAGGAGCUCCUGCUGCAUGGUGGGGGUUGGAAAGUUUCGGCGGUUGGGGAUGGACUCGCGGCUUAUCAGCUUGUUGGUGGGGUAGUGGCUUACCAAGGCUUUGACGGGUAGCCGGCCUGAGAGGGUGACCGGCCACAUUGGGACUGAGAUACGGCCCAGACUCCUACGGGAGGCAGCAGUGGGGAAUAUUGCACAAUGGGCGGAGGCCUGAUGCAGCAACGCCGCGUGCGGGAUGACGGCCUUCGGGUUGUAAACCGCUUUCGCCUGUGACGAAGCGUGAGUGACGGUAAUGGGUAAAGAAGCACCGGCUAACUACGUG